rnacentral:rRNA from 1 species
CGGCAUGCUUAACACAUGCAAGUCGAACGGAAACGAUGGAAGCUUGCUUCCAGGCGUCGAGUGGCGAACGGGUGAGUAAUGCUUGGGAAUCUGCCCAAUAGUGGGGAACAACUCGGGGAAACUCGGGCUAAUACCGCAUAAUCUCUUCGGAGGAAAGGGAGCCUCUACAUGUAAGCUCUCGCUAAUGGAUGAGCCCAAGUCAGAUUAGUUUGUUGGUAGGGUAACGGCCUACCAAGGCAACGAUCUCUAGCUGGUCUGAGAGGAUGAUCAGCCACACUGGGACUGAGACACGGCCCAGACUCCUACGGGAGGCAGCAGUGGGGAAUAUUGGACAAUGGGGGCAACCCUGAUCCAGCAAUGCCGCGUGUGUGAAGAAGGCCUUAGGGUUGUAAAGCACUUUCAACGGUGACGAUGAUGACGGUAACCGUAGAAGAAGCCCCGGCUAACUUCGUGCCAGCAGCCGCGGUAAUACGAAGGGGGCGAGCGUUGUUCGGAAUAACUGGGCGUAAAGGGCGCGUAGGCGGUCUAUCUAGUUGGGCGUGAAAGCCCUGGGCUCAACCCAGGAAUUGCGUCCAAUACUAAUAGACUAGAGACCGAGAGAGGAUAGUGGAAUUUCCAGUGUAGAGGUGAAAUUCGUAGAUAUUGGAAAGAACACCAGUGGCGAAGGCGGCUACCUGGCUCGAUAUUGACGCUGAGGUGCGAAAGCGUGGGGAGCGAACAGGAUUAGAUACCCUGGUAGUCCACGCCGUAAACGAUG